rnacentral:rRNA from 1 species
GACGAACGCUGGCGGCGUGCUUAACACAUGCAAGUCGAACGGUGACCCACCUUCGGGUGGCGAUCAGUGGCGAACGGGUGAGUAACACGUGGGCAACCUGCCCCUGACUCUGGGAUAACUCCUCGAAAGAGGUGCUAAUACCGGAUACCACCUCCCUCGGCAUCGGGGGCGGUUGAAAGUUUUUCGGUCCGGGAUGGGCCCGGGGCCUAUCAGCUAGUGGGUGAGGUAACGGCCCACCAAGGCGACGACGGGUAGCCGGCCUGAGAGGGCGACCGGCCACACUGGGACUGAGAUACGGCCCAGACUCCUACGGGAGGCAGCAGUGGGGAAUAUUGCGCAAUGGGCGAAAGCCUGACGCAGCAACGCCGCGUGAGGGAUGACGGCCUUCGGGUUGUAAACCUCUUUCAGCAGGGACGAAGCGAAAGUGACUGUACCUGCAGAAGAAGCGCCGGCUAACUACGUGCCAGCAGCCGCCGUAACAC